rnacentral:rRNA from 1 species
AGCGUACACGGUGGAUGCCCUGGCAGUCAGAGGCGAUGAAGGACGUGCUAAUCUGCGAUAAGCGUCGGUAAGGUGAUAUGAACCGUUAUAACCGGCGAUUUCCGAAUGGGGAAACCCAGUGUGUUUCGACACACUAUCAUUAACUGAAUCCAUAGGUUAAUGAGGCGAACCGGGGAACUGAAACAUCUAAGUACCCCGAGGAAAAGAAAUCAACCGAGAUUCCCCCAGUAGCGGCGAGCGAACGGGGAGCAGCCCAGAGCCUGAAUCAGUGUGUGUGUUAGUGGAAGCGUCUGGAAAGGCGCGCGAUACAGGGUGACAGCCCCGUACACAAAAAUGCACAUGCUGUGAGCUCGAUGAGUAGGGCGGGACACGUGGUAUCCUGUCUGAAUAUGGGGGGACCAUCCUCCAAGGCUAAAUACUCCUGACUGACCGAUAGUGAACCAGUACCGUGAGGGAAAGGCGAAAAGAACCCCGGCGAGGGGAGUGAAAAAGAACCUGAAACCGUGUACGUACAAGCAGUGGGAGCACGCUUAGGCGUGUGACUGCGUACCUUUUGUAUAAUGGGUCAGCGACUUAUAUUCUGUAGCAAGGUUAACCGAAUAGGGGAGCCGAAGGGAAACCGAGUCUUAACUGGGCGUUAAGUUGCAGGGUAUAGACCCGAAACCCGGUGAUCUAGCCAUGGGCAGGUUGAAGGUUGGAUAACACUAACUGGAGGACCGAACCGACUAAUGUUGAAAAAUUAGCGGAUGACUUGUGGCUGGGGGUGAAAGGCCAAUCAAACCGGGAGAUAGCUGGUUCUCCCCGAAAGCUAUUUAGGUAGCGCCUCGUGAAUUCAUCUCCGGGGGUAGAGCACUGUUUCGGCAAGGGGGUCAUCCCGACUUACCAACCCGAUGCAAACUGCGAAUACCGGAGAAUGUUAUCACGGGAGACACACGGCGGGUGCUAACGUCCGUCGUGAAGAGGGAAACAACCCAGACCGCCAGCUAAGGUCCCAAAGUCAUGGUUAAGUGGGAAACGAUGUGGGAAGGCCCAGACAGCCAGGAUGUUGGCUUAGAAGCAGCCAUCAUUUAAAGAAAGCGUAAUAGCUCACUGGUCGAGUCGGCCUGCGCGGAAGAUGUAACGGGGCUAAACCAUGCACCGAAGCUGCGGCAGCGACGCUGAUGCGUUGUUGGGUAGGGGAGCGUUCUGUAAGCCUGCGAAGGUGUGCUGUGAGGCAUGCUGGAGGUAUCAGAAGUGCGAAUGCUGACAUAAGUAACGAUAAAGCGGGUGAAAAGCCCGCUCGCCGGAAGACCAAGGGUUCCUGUCCAACGUUAAUCGGGGCAGGGUGAGUCGACCCCUAAGGCGAGGCCGAAAGGCGUAGUCGAUGGGAAACAGGUUAAUAUUCCUGUACUUGGUGUUACUGCGAAGGGGGGACGGAGAAGGCUAUGUUGGCCGGGCGACGGUUGUCCCGGUUUAAGCGUGUAGGCUGGUUUUCCAGGCAAAUCCGGAAAAUCAAGGCUGAGGCGUGAUGACGAGGCACUACGGUGCUGAAGCAACAAAUGCCCUGCUUCCAGGAAAAGCCUCUAAGCAUCAGGUAACAUCAAAUCGUACCCCAAACCGACACAGGUGGUCAGGUAGAGAAUACCAAGGCGCUUGAGAGAACUCGGGUGAAGGAACUAGGCAAAAUGGUGCCGUAACUUCGGGAGAAGGCACGCUGAUAUGUAGGUGAAGUCCCUCGCGGAUGGAGCUGAAAUCAGUCGAAGAUACCAGCUGGCUGCAACUGUUUAUUAAAAACACAGCACUGUGCAAACACGAAAGUGGACGUAUACGGUGUGACGCCUGCCCGGUGCCGGAAGGUUAAUUGAUGGGGUCAGCGCAAGCGAAGCUCUUGAUCGAAGCCCCGGUAAACGGCGGCCGUAACUAUAACGGUCCUAAGGUAGCGAAAUUCCUUGUCGGGUAAGUUCCGACCUGCACGAAUGGCGUAAUGAUGGCCAGGCUGUCUCCACCCGAGACUCAGUGAAAUUGAACUCGCUGUGAAGAUGCAGUGUACCCGCGGCAAGACGGAAAGACCCCGUGAACCUUUACUAUAGCUUGACACUGAACAUUGAGCCUUGAUGUGUAGGAUAGGUGGGAGGCUUUGAAGUGUGGACGCCAGUCUGCAUGGAGCCGACCUUGAAAUACCACCCUUUAAUGUUUGAUGUUCUAACGUGGACCCGUGAUCCGGGUUGCGGACAGUGUCUGGUGGGUAGUUUGACUGGGGCGGUCUCCUCCUAAAGAGUAACGGAGGAGCACGAAGGUUGGCUAAUCCUGGUCGGACAUCAGGAGGUUAGUGCAAUGGCAUAAGCCAGCUUGACUGCGAGCGUGACGGCGCGAGCAGGUGCGAAAGCAGGUCAUAGUGAUCCGGUGGUUCUGAAUGGAAGGGCCAUCGCUCAACGGAUAAAAGGUACUCCGGGGAUAACAGGCUGAUACCGCCCAAGAGUUCAUAUCGACGGCGGUGUUUGGCACCUCGAUGUCGGCUCAUCACAUCCUGGGGCUGAAGUAGGUCCCAAGGGUAUGGCUGUUCGCCAUUUAAAGUGGUACGCGAGCUGGGUUUAGAACGUCGUGAGACAGUUCGGUCCCUAUCUGCCGUGGGCGCUGGAGAACUGAGGGGGGCUGCUCCUAGUACGAGAGGACCGGAGUGGACGCAUCACUGGUGUUCGGGUUGUCAUGCCAAUGGCACUGCCCGGUAGCUAAAUGCGGAAGAGAUAAGUGCUGAAAGCAUCUAAGCACGAAACUUGCCCCGAGAUGAGUUCUCCCUGACUCCUUGA